rnacentral:rRNA from 1 species
CCUAUUGGAUAACUGCGGUAAUUCUGGAGCUAAUACAUGCGUAUAAACCCUGACUUUCGAAAGGGUGCAAUUAUUAGAGCAAAUCAAUCAUUUUCGGAUGCAGUUUGCUGACUCUGAAUAACGCAGCAUAUCGGCGGCUUGUUCGCUGAUAAUCCGAAAAAGUGUCUGCCCUAUCAACCUGAUGGUAGUCUAUUAGUCUACCAUGGUUAUUACGGGUAACGGAGAAUAAGGGUUCGACUCCGGAGAGGGAGCCUUAGAAACGGCUACCACAUCCAAGGAAGGCAGCAGGCGCGAAACUUAUCCAAUCUU